UAAGGCUGCAAUCCUGUACAUAGGCUGCUUAAAUCCCAUUCACUUUAAUGGUACUUAAGCUGCCUAAAUAUGUGUAGGUUUGUAGCCUA